rnacentral:rRNA from 1 species
AACGAACGCUGGCGGCAGGCUUAACACAUGCAAGUCGAGCGCCCCGCAAGGGGAGCGGCAGACGGGUGAGUAACGCGUGGGAAUCUACCCAUCCCUACGGAAUAACGCAUGGAAACGUGUGCUAAUACCGUAUACGUCCUUCGGGAGAAAGAUUUAUCGGAGAUGGAUGAGCCCGCGUUGGAUUAGCUAGUUGGUGGGGUAAAGGCCUACCAAGGCGACGAUCCAUAGCUGGUCUGAGAGGAUGAUCAGCCACACUGGGACUGAGACACGGCCCAGACUCCUACGGGAGGCAGCAGUGGGGAAUAUUGGACAAUGGGCGCAAGCCUGAUCCAGCCAUGCCGCGUGAGUGAUGAAGGCCCUAGGGUUGUAAAGCUCUUACACCGGUGAAGAUAAUGACGGUAACCGGAGAAGAAGCCCCGGCUAACUUCGUGCCAGCCGCCGCGGUAAUAC